rnacentral:rRNA from 1 species
GAUCAUGGCUCAGGACGAACGCUGGCGGCGUGCCUAACACAUGCAAGUCGAACGAAGCACUGCGGAAAGAGACUUCGGUCAAUGGAAGCUUUGACUUAGUGGCGGACGGGUGAGUAACGCGUGAGGAACCUGCCUUUCAGUGGGGGACGAACAGUUGGAAACGACUGCUAAUACCGCAUAAUGUGUUUUGGGGGUCGAUCCCCGGAACCACCAAAGAUUUAUUGCUGAAAGAAUGGCCUCGCGUCUGAUUAG